rnacentral:rRNA from 1 species
UUGGAGGGCAAGUCUGGUGCCAGCAGCCGCGGUAAUUCCAGCUCCAAUAGCGUAUAUUAAAGUUGUUGCAGUUAAAAAGCUCGUAGUUGAACUUCGGGAUCAAUGGAUCGGUCAUGCCGUUGGUAUGUACUGGUCACAUUGGUUCUCACCUUCUAAGGAACCAUGAUGUCAUUCAUUUGAUGUUGUGGGGAAUUAGGACUGUUACCUUGAAAAAAUUAGAGUGUUUAAAGCAGGCUAACGCUUGAAUACAUUAGCAUGGAAUAAUGAAAUAGGACAUCGCAUUCUAUUUUGUUGGUUUCUAGGAUCGAUGUAAUGAUUAAUAGGGAUAGUUGGGGGCAUUAGUAUUCAGUUGUCAGAGGUGAAAUUCUUGGAUUUAUUGAAGACUAACUACUGCGAAAGCAUUUGCCAAGGAUGUUUUCAUUAAUCAAGAACGAAAGUUAGGGGAUCGAAGACGAUCAGAUACCGUCGUAGUCUUAACCAUAAACUAUGCCGACUAGGGAUCGGAUGAUGUUGAUUUUUUAAUGACUCAUUCGGCGCCUUACGGGAAAC